UGCGGGAUGGGGAAGAGGUCUAUCCCGUCUGGCUCAUAACCAGAAGCUCCCCGGUUCGAAUCCGGGUCCCGCAA
rnacentral:tRNA from 1 species